rnacentral:misc_RNA from 1 species
GAUGAAGAACGCAGCGAAAUGCGAUACGUAAUGUGAAUUGCAGAAUUCAGUGAAUCAUCGAAUCUUUGAACGCAUAUUGCGCUCUCUGGUAUUCCGGAGAGCAUGCUUGUUUGAGUAUCAGUAAACACCUCAACUCCCUUUUCUUUUUUGAAAUUGGAGCUGGACUUGAGUGAUCCCAACGCUUUCUUCCAAGAAAGUGGCGGGUUGCUUGAAAUGCAGGUGCAGCUGAACUUUUCUCUGAGCUAUAAGCAUAUCUAUUUAGUCUGCCUAAAAAACAGAUUAUUACCUUUGCUGCAGCUAACAUAAAGGAGACUAGUUCUUGUGCUGACUGAUGCAGGAUUCACAGAGACAGCUUCGGCUGACUUUGGAAACUCGAUCUCAAAUCAAGUAAACUACCCGCUGAACUUAAGCAUAUCAAUAAGCGGAGGA